rnacentral:rRNA from 1 species
UACGUAGGGUGCGAGCGUUGUCCGGAAUUAUUGGGCGUAAAGAGCUCGUAGGCGGUUUGUUGCGUCUAUCGUGAAAACCUGCAGCUUAACUGUGGGCUUGCGGUGGAUACGGGCAGACUUGAGUUCGGUAGGGGAGACUGGAAUUCCUGGUGUAGCGGUGAAAUGCGCAGAUAUCAGGAAGAACACCCGUGGCUAAGGCGGCUCUCUAGUACGGUACUGACGCUGAGACGCGAAAGCGUGGGGAGCGAACAGG